GACGUCCUUCCCGGAGUCCAGCUGACACAGGUCUCGGCCAGGGCUCUACCUGCGCUCAGGAUUGGAAAAGCUGUGCGCAAAGAGGGGCGCGUUGGUUCUCCGCAACUGGGAGCAGAAACCGGCCUGGGUCAGCCAGUGGACUGGUUGGAAGUAGAGAACUGAAAGAAAACCAACACCCUAGCGAGGCCAAGGGAGAUUUUAAAGGCUGAAGCAGAAGGAUCUCAAGUUCCAGCCAGAUUCCUUAGGGAGCAUUUGCCUCCAUAAAAUAACCCUAACUGUUGUCAAGUGACAGUGAACUCCAGUGGCCAUCAGACAAGGGUAAGCGUAGUCCUCACCCCUCAUCAAGGAAACUUCCCUUGGCAACAGACAUCGAUCAUUACAGAAAACUGCAACCAAUCAAAUUGCAGCUGUACAGCCCAAUCCCAGCAGAUACAGCUACAAAACAACUCUUGCAACAAAGCUCGGGGAUCGAUGUGAAGGAGAGAAUGGGAAGAUUGUAAGAUCCAGGGGAUCGAGGAAUUUGCUACGAGACAGUGUCUCCCAGAAGCUACACACCCAUGAAGUCUCACCAAUAUAGCUGCCUAAAUGUGACCUGAGUAAUGACACCAGUCGCCAUGUUAACACAGAUCAGGGAAAGCCAGGGAGGCUACACCCCCACCUGCAGCCAACUAAGAAAUGCUGGGGUUGGGAAAAAUAGUCUUCCCCUAGGAAGAGAACUGCAGUUGUUAUGCCAUACCACAUGGUCAGCACUGAAAACAUAUAUAUACAACUAAUAUUAUACAGGCUGAGCCAAUUGCAUUUACACAUUUAGGAAUAUAAAUAUACACAUAUAUGUGUGUAAUAACAACCAAGUUUUGUUUUGUUUAUUUUUUUAAAAAGGCCAUGAAUUUGAAAGAAAACAAGGGGAAGGAUAUAUGAGAGGGUUUGGGGAGAGGAAAGGGAAGGGGAAAAUGAUGUAAUUAUAUUAUAAUCUC
rnacentral:lncRNA from 1 species